rnacentral:rRNA from 1 species
UACGAAGGGGCUGCGUUGCUCGAAUCACUGGGCGUAAAGGCGCGUAGGCGGAUCUUUAAGUCGGGGGUGAAAGCCCAGGGCUCAACCCUGGAAAUUCGGCCUUCCGAUACUGGAGAUUCUUGAGACCGGAAGAGGUAAGUGGAACUGCGAGUGUAGAGGUGAAAUUGCGGUAGAUAUUCGCAAGAACACCAGGUGGCGAAAAGGCGGCGUUA